GAAACAGAGAGAAAACUCACGGCAAUUCGGAGGGCUUCACCUUCGACUAGUGGGAUUCACCAAAAAGGGUUCAAAAGGAGAUUCUUUUCAUUCUUCAGAGUAAGAACGAUUAUCAACGUGAAUCAACAACGAGCGUAUAUCUCCUCUGAACCGCUGCAUCGGAAUAAAUCGAGUAUACAAGCAAGUGAACAGUAGCACAAGAACGUCAAUACUGUUUAGUAAAAACAACCAAACAAAUACGCCAUUUUUGAGCCGAACUACGAAGCUCUGACUUCCCUAUUGCACGUAUGGGGAUACGUAGGCACGAGGGCCCAACUCCUUGUCGAGCACACUAAAUUAAAACUUAUUUUCUCUCCCACCUUAUUCUUUUAUCUCACUCCCGAUAGUAAGCAAUUAACAGAUAAAUAAACAUCCAUACGCAAUUGAUAUGAGCAAGUGGUUCCCAUGGAGUACCAUGGAUGUGAGGGGUGAUAAUACCUUCCCCUCGCAUAACCGACUUCCGAAUUCGCUCUUUGUUGCGAGACCAUUUCUCUCAUUUGGGGUUUUAUCGCUAUUUUCCCUUUACUUUGGAAUAAAUAAAAUCCGGUGGCGCCUCUGUAUUUUUCGCGGCGCUUCACUGGUGGAUUGAAAACUUGAAAGAGCAAUCCUGUCAAAAAUUAGGGACUAGUAUAAAAAUAAAACCCGAUAAGUCGAAAACACAAAAGGGAGGCUUAGGAGAAAUAGGGUAUAUCAUCCUGGUGGACUAAGACUCGAAAAGAGCAGUCCAGGCAAAAAAUAGAGAUAUCCAAAAGGCAUAUGACCUCAUCAUUUAUUUCUUCCUACAACAAGAAUUUAGAUGGGAGUAAUCAAUUCAAUCAUCACCUUCGAAAGCAAAGUAUUGUGACCUCAAAGAGAUAGGGAUAAUAGAACGUGUUGGGUUAAACAGGGACAUGAAUAAAGUUGUUUUUCAUUGCCAUUUUUACAUCUUCUUAGAUUUUUGGUAAUUUCUCCUUACAGGAAUUACUUCUUUAUGCAAUAUCGCCCAUUUACGGGCCAAAUCUCAAUUAAUGAAAUUUGUUUUUUGAAUCA